AUUGAACGCUGGCGGCAGGCCUAACACAUGCAAGUCGAACGAGUGGCGGACGGGUGUGUAAUGUCUGGGAAACUGCCUGAUGGAGGGGGAUAACUACUGGAAACGGUAGCUAAUCCCGCAUACCAUCAGAUGUGCCCAGAGGGGAUUAGCGAGUUGGUGGGGUAACGGAGCACCAAGGCGACGAUCCCUAGCUGGUCUGCGAGGAUGACCAGCCAAACUGGAACGGAGACACGGUCCAGACGCCUACGGGAGGCAGAAGGGGGGAAUAGUGCACAAUGGGCGCAAGCCUGAUGCAGCCAUGCCGCGUGUAUGAAGAAGGCCUUCGGGUUGUAAAGUACUUUCAGCGGGGAGGCGUUACCCGCAGAAGAAGCACCGGCUAACUCCGUGCCAGCAGCCGCGGUAAUUC
rnacentral:rRNA from 1 species